rnacentral:tRNA from 1 species
CUCAGUGUGGUGCAAUGGUAGCAUACUCCGUUACGGGUCUCCGUUGGAGCCCGUGUUCCAUAUGCUGUUGUUGUUGGACGGAGAGAUGUAGGUUCGAUUCCUAUCGCUGAGA